UCCUCGCUCAAACGAUCGCUAUCGAAGCUACCUACAGACGGGGCGGCUACCGCUACCCCGUCCUCCACAGAAUGCUUUGGGAGAAAGUCCCCGGACGUGCCGAUGCGCCCUCCUCUGGAGCGCCAUCCCGUUGAGAAACACCGACAUAGAAGCUUCCAUGCCCGGUUUACUCGCAGCGCUAUAAAACAAUCGUUCUGGCCCGCUGCCUUGUCGAGCGCCGUCUGCUCGAGCCCCCCGCCGGCGUCCUCGGCGUAUGUGUCUCUCGUCCGGCUUUGCUGGAUUGAUCUGUAGACUGUCGCGGUGGUCGCAGGGCGGGUGGUGAGGAUGGCCUUCGUCGCCUGGUGCGGGAUUGGGCAUUGGAUUUGCUCUGGCGCUGUUUGGCUUUAAAUAUUCGUCAUAUUGCGAUAGUUAUGCGAUCGCUCUGCGCGUCUCUUUUGGCGUGCGGGGUGACUCGAUGGGGCUUAUUCUUGAGGCGAGG
rnacentral:RNase_MRP_RNA from 2 species